rnacentral:lncRNA from 1 species
AUGUUGAGCUGCUUCUCCACUUCCAGAGGCCGCAGCCUCAGGACCCCAGGUAGAGAAAGUAUCUGUGAAAGACUAAGAAGAUGGCUGACUCCAUCCAGAUGCCACAGGCCACACUGUAGCAGCCACAUGACUGUCACAGACACCCCAGGGACAGUCUCCCCUGGAGUGACCACCAGUGACCUACCAAAAUCAAGUGUAACAUCCUUGAAGAUCCGGCAGAACUCCAUAUUCCACAGAGUCUCAUCAUCCCAAUCCUUGCAGGCAAGAAGAAUGGCUCCCAGGACACUCCUUCUCCAGUUAGUAGGACAGCUAUCAAUCUCAGUGUAAGACAAAAGCCUUUCUAUAAAAACCAAGGUUGUUAUUGCACAUUCAGUUGGUAAGCGUGUGGCACUAAAAAUAAUAGCAACAAAUCCGUAAAUACACGUGUUCAGGAUCAUGCUCAAAGUAUUCCUCUGGAAGCUUUUCUCUUGUGAGUGGAUGCAAUUGCUCAUCAAAAAUAUCCAGGCAUCUGUUUGCAUCUCUGUUCUUUAUGAGGUAAUAUAUUGCUAGGCUCACACAUUUUACCAUUAUUCUAGGAAUAGGCUGGCUGAGUGUACUGUGAUCUACAACUAUUGUUGAGAAUGAGCUAUAUUUCCUAGUAAGCUGCCCUGGAGAUACACGGAUGAAGUUGUUGUAUAUCAUCUGAGCAUCCACACAUGCUUGACAUUUGUUCAGGAAAAUUGUGCUUGCCCUUGGAUGGUCAAAGGUACAAAGCUACAAAGCUACACUGUCUGGGCUCCUGGGUCCUCCUCCCAAGCGGAUCCUCCUCAGGCUCUGGCUCCCCAGGGGCAGAAUGUCGGUGGCUCUGGAUGCACUUCUCCACCCAGUCCCUAUUAGGAGGCUGUGGGUCACUCCCAGGCGCAGCCUCAGGACUCGCCCACCACCCUUAGGGCUCAAGAGAGACUUUAUU